AACGAACGCUGGCGGCAUGCCUAACACAUGCAAGUCGAACGAGACCUUCGGGUCUAGUGGCGCACGGGUGCGUAACGCGUGGGAACCUGCCCUUUGGUUCGGAAUAACUCCCCGAAAGGGGUGCUAAUACCGGAUAAUGUCUUCGGACCAAAGAUUUAUCGCCUUUGGAUGGGCCCGCGUUGGAUUAGCUAGUUGGUAGGGUAAAAGCCUACCAAGGCGACGAUCCAUAGCUGGUCUGAGAGGAUGAUCAGCCACACUGGGACUGAGACGCGGCCCAGACUCCUACGGGAGGCAGCAGUGGGGAAUAUUGGACAAUGGGCGAAAGCCUGAUCCAGCAAUGCCGCGUGAGUGAUGAAGGCCUUAGGGUUGUAAAGCUCUUUUACCCGGGAUGAUAAUGACAGUACCGGGAGAAUAAGCUCCGGCUAACUCCGUG
rnacentral:rRNA from 1 species